rnacentral:rRNA from 1 species
UUCGCCCUUAGAGUUUGAUCCUGGCUCAGGAUGAACGCUGGCGGCGUGCCUAACACAUGCAAGUCGAGCGAAGCGCUGUUUUCAGAAUCUUCGGAGGAAGAGGAUAGUGACUGAGCGGCGGACGGGUGAGUAACGCGUGGGCAACCUGCCUCAUACAGGGGGAUAACAGUUAGAAAUGACUGCUAAUACCGCAUAAGCGCACAGGACCGCAUGGUGUAGUGUGAAAAACUCCGGUGGUAUGAGAUGGACCCGCGUCUGAUUAGGUAGUUGGUGGGGUAAAGGCCUACCAAGCCGACGAUCAGUAGCCGACCUGAGAGGGUGACCGGCCACAUUGGGACUGAGACACGGCCCAAACUCCUACGGGAGGCAGCAGUGGGGAAUAUUGCACAAUGGGGGAAACCCUGAUGCAGCGACGCCGCGUGAAGGAAGAAGGUCUUCGGAUUGUAAACUUUUGUCCUAUGGGAAGAAGAAAGUGACGGUACCAUAGGAGGAAGCUCCGGCUAACUACGUGCCAGCAGCCGCGGUAAUACGUAGGGAGCAAGCGUUGUCCGGAUUUACUGGGUGUAAAGGGUGCGUAGGCGGAAGAGCAAGUCAGUAGUGAAAUCUGGGGGCUUAACCCCCAAACUGCUAUUGAAACUGUUUUUCUUGAGUGGAGUAGAGGUAGGCGGAAUUCCCGGUGUAGCGGUGAAAUGCGUAGAGAUCGGGAGGAACACCAGUGGCGAAGGCGGCCUACUGGGCUCUAACUGACGCUGAGGCUCGAAAGUGUGGGGAGCAAACAGGAUUAGAUACCCUGGUAGUCCACACUGUAAACGAUGAUUGCUAGGUGUGGGGGGUCUGACCCCCUCCGUGCCGGAGUUAACACAAUAAGUAAUCCACCUGGGGAGUACGGCCGCAAGGUUGAAACUCAAAGGAAUUGACGGGGGCCCGCACAAGCAGUGGAGUAUGUGGUUUAAUUCGAAGCAACGCGAAGAACCUUACCAGGUCUUGACAUCCGAUGCAUAACACAGAGAUGUGUGAAAUCCUUCGGGACAUCGAGACAGGUGGUGCAUGGUUGUCGUCAGCUCGUGUCGUGAGAUGUUGGGUUAAGUCCCGCAACGAGCGCAACCCUUAUUGCCAGUUACUACGUUAAGAGGACUCUGGCGAGACUGCCGUUGACAAAACGGAGGAAGGUGGGGACGACGUCAAAUCAUCAUGCCCCUUAUGAUCUGGGCGACACACGUGCUACAAUGGCGGUUACAGAGUGAGGCGAACCCGCGAGGGGGAGCGAACCACAAAAAGGACGUCCCAGUUCGGACUGCAGGCUGCAACUCGCCUGCACGAAGUCGGAAUUGCUAGUAAUCGUGGAUCAGCAUGCCACGGUGAAUACGUUCCCGGGCCUUGCACACACCGCCCGUCA